GCAAAUGCGAUGAAGAGGCCAAGUAGAUCUGGUAACGCCGUUCAGAGAACUGCCGGUUGGUGCGAGGCAGCGGAUAUCCGAAUCAAAAAAUCACCUCAGAGCUGUCCCCCGAAUAAUAGUAGAUGGGACCGGGAUUCUACCGUUACAAAGAAGCAUCGUUGUUGGACGAUGGCUAAGAGGGCGUUUAUUAUAAACGUCAAUCAGGGUGGUAACGCGGAGCAACUUCGUCCCUAAU
rnacentral:ncRNA from 1 species